AAACUUUCAACAACGGAUCUCUUGGUUCUGGCAUCGAUGAAGAACGCAGCGAAAUGCGAUAAGUAAUGUGAAUUGCAGAACUCAGCGAACCAUCGAAUCUUUGAACGCACCUUGCGCCCGUCGGUAUUCCGGCGGGCAUGCCUGUCCGAGCGUCAUUG
rnacentral:rRNA from 1 species